UACGGGGGGGGCAAGCGUUGUUCGGAAUUACUGGGCGUAAAGGGCUCGUAGGCGGCCCACUAAGUCCGACGUGAAAUCCCCAGGCUUAACUUGGGAACUGCGUCGGAUACUGGUGGGCUUGAAUCCGGGAGAGGGAUGCGGAAUUCCAGGUGUAGCGGUGAAAUGCGUAGAUAUCGGAAAGAACACCAACGGCGAAAGCACUCUGCUGGGCCGACACUGACACUGAGAGACGAAAGCUAGGGGAGCGAAUGGG
rnacentral:rRNA from 1 species